UUUUUUUUUUUUUUUGUUUCUCCUUACAAAGAAGCUAGCUUUGUUGUAACGAGUUGUGAACUACCUUCUUGUGCUACCUAGCUUUUGGGUUGAAAGAAGAGUGGUGAGAAGGUAUGGGAAACCCUGAUGCAGACCAUUCUGCGUACGAGUCUCAACAGAUUCAAACGGAAUACGAGCUACAGCCUCAGGAAUAUGAGCCGAAUCAGGAAGCUGCACCGAUUCCUGAUCAAUAUUUAGCGGCAACUUAUCAGAACAAUCAACAGGGGCAGCAGUACCAGGCUCAGCAGAUGGGCACAGUUGGAAAUAAUCCUCAGACUCAGGAACAUCAGUUCCAGCCACAGCAGCAGCCAAUGCAAUACCCCCCACCGCAGCAGCCAGCACCAGCUCAGCAGCGGCCAACACAAUAUCCCCCACAGCAGCAGCCGACACAAUACCCUCCACCGCAGCCUAACCAAGCCUAUCCUCCGCCCCAGCCAGCACAAUACCCACCCCAAAACUUGCAAAACAAUCCAAUGUAUCAAAAUAGGCCGAACCCGAACCAGCCUGCAGCAUAUCCACCACAGCCAGUGCAGUAACCGCCCAAGAGCCAGCCAACCAAUCAGAUGUACUCAAAUGUAGGCCCAAGGGUGAUGCAACCUCAGACCGUCUACGCUCCUAACGCUUCACCACAAGCAUUUCCUCAACCUGCUGACCUGCCUCAACAGGGUCCGGGUAUGCCGCUUGCAUCACCACAUAAACCCGGUGGUCAACCUGCUGCUGUAGCCGGAAUCCCAGUUGCUGGAGACGGUUGGAGAAGUGGCCUUUUCGAUUUCAUGGAUGAUCCAAUGAAUUGUAAAGCUCCUCCUUUUUCACGUUUCACUAUGUUCUGUACAUGGGUGCAUGCACAGACAAAGAAAAACUACACACGUCGUGUGGUCGUUGACUCAUUGCAUUCUGCUUUUGUUUUCAUAUUAACAGGCCACAAACAUUUGAUACUGUAGUAUAUUUGUCUCACACAUUUUUUUUUUUACUUAUGAAAGUUAUAAAGAAAGGAAUUACUGAAUAAGCCAAGAGUUGGCUACCGAGUCACAAUGAGAUUGUUUGUCUCAUUUGAAGCAGUAAAAGUUAUUACUUCAACUUUAAACAUUAUAUUUAUAAAUAAAUUCAUCUUUAUAAAUGGAAUCUUUUAAUUAUCUAAUGAAUAUUUGUUAUGUCAAUUGUCAAGUGAGAAAAAUUAAUCUAUAGAUAACAAUAUAAUGGUGAAUACCGUACAAGUUGGUACAAUUAAAUUAAAAUUAAAUAAAAAUAAAAUANGGUAUCUGCGGAUCAAGUAUGGGUCAGCUUACUCCACUUAUUAAUUUUUAAAGCCAAACUUGGGAUCGACCUAAUCCAUUCAUUUAACUAUUAAUUUUAUAUAAUAUAUUUUAAAAUUAAAUAAAAUAAAAAUACCUGUGUACAUAUAUAUAUUAAUAAUUUGUAUAGAUGCAUCACUGAGGAUUUGACUAAUUUUUAUUUAUUGUUACUGCUUUCAGCUCUAGUGACAGCCUUUUUCCCAUGCUUGACAUUCGGCCAGAUCGCUGAAAUUGUGGAUGCUGGCCACACAAGAAAGUAAAGAAGUCUUUUAGCAUUCUUUCCCAUGCAUCCAUUAAUAUAUUUCUGAUUCUUUUUUAGAAUUUUGAAUUUUUUUAUAACAUCGAAAUGUUCAAUGGUUUUUGAUAAUAAAUUAAUUAAAAGAAUUAUGAAAAAUUGAUAUGAUAAAAUACAAGUAAGAAUAUUAAGUGUUCAAAAAAAAAAGAGAACAUAUAGUUUUCAAGUUUUGAUAUGUCAAUAUAUAUAUAUAUAUAUGUAUAUAUAUAUAUAUAUAUAUAGUGUUUUAAAAAGAGAAAGAAAUUUAAUUUUCAUGCAUGGUGUUGGAACAGCUUGUGGAAUCAGUGGACUGCUCUAUGGUGCAAUCGCCUUCUUAAUUGGAAUGCCAUGCCUAUUGUCAUGUACGCACCGGACCAAACUAAGAAACAAGUUGGGGCUCCCGGAAGCUCCAGGCCCGGAUUGGGUUACUCACUUCCUUUGUGAAUGGUGUGCUCUUUGCCAAGAGUACAGGGAGCUUCAACAUAGAGGCUGGGAUCCUUCUGUCACAAUUCAAUUUUCGAGCUAUAAUCGACGCAUGGAUCUAAUGGGUAUAGUCCACAAAGCCCAAGUAAGCCUAUCUAUAUAAUCUAAUACAUUAAUCUAUAUUUUUUUAGAAUCCAAAAUUCGUAAUGUUCAAAUAUCAUUUUUUUUGAAAAUAAUUUAUAAAACUCAAUUAUACAUUCAUAAUGGCAUCAUCAACCAUAAUAUACAUAUAUAGCUUGACAAUUGAAUAUUAGUAUUUCACAUUAAGUAUUUAUAUAUACAUAAUUAUACUUUGAUCGUUAGUGGAAUGACUCUAGACACGGUUGCUAACAUUUAGUAUCAUGUUAAACUUACCGAGCAAUGAAUAGGGAGGAGCACCUUAUCCUAGGAUGUAAUCACCUUUAACUCAGAAAACCUAAAACAUGAAGUUUAAAAACGUGAGUAUAAACUUAGUGAGUGAACAUAAGAAAGGAACAAGACAACGAUACGGAGAGCUUUUCGAAAACAUGAUGCACUUGUGUAAAAAAAAUGCAAUUUUAUAUAUUAUCAACCAAACUCGAUGCCGUGCUGUUUUUCAACUCAUUUUAAAACAUUUAGGAAAUUCAAGUAAGGCAAGUAUAGUAGACUGCAUCUCGCUGUAGUGGAAAGACAUUCUAUAGCAUAUAGUACAAUCACAUUUUAUAUUUUCAUAACUUGUCUAUAGCAUAUAUAUAUAUAUGUGUACACCACCGCCACCGUACUCAACUUAUCUAAUAAUUUCUAUGAUGAAGAUUGCAGCUGGGGUUAUCAAUUUUUAUAUAUUUUUUUACGUAAAAGGGUUGAGAUUUUGUAAUUAACUUAUCGUUCCUUUAUUAAUUUGAUGAAAACAUGCAUUAAAUAUAAUGUUUUAUUAAAAUAACACUUUAACUCAGUAUUUUUAAAAUUUUUUGUCUUCAAAUUCAUGGUUCUCUAAGAGUUCCUUUGACUUUGCAAUUGGAAUUGCAUUUAGAUUGCAAUCACCGAAUUUGACUUGCAAAUGCAAUGUCAAAUAAAGUAAAAUUUUUGCAGUGAAAUUUUUCUCAAUAAUUUCCAAUGCCAGCCAAUCAGCAAGACUUUUCUUUCUCACCUCCUUUUCUCACACACUUAUUCUCUUUGUGAGCCUUGUGUAAUUACGGGGGGUCACAUUUUUUAAAUUUGGUAUAUAUUAUAUAUUUUUUCUCUUAAUGAUUCUCUAAAAAAGAAUUUAAUUUUUAUUUCUUUUUAUUUUUGACCUUCUAAUAAAAAUUAGUUAGUUUCGUUUCUGUCUUUACUACCGCUAUCCAAAACUUAGCAUGACGACUUUGUAUAUUGCUGAAGAAAGAGGGAGGGGCCAUGAAGUACUGAAGUUUUGAGGAGAAAAUCAAGUAAAAACAAAAUGGAAAGGGAAAAAAGAAAAGAAAUGAGACAAAUUAAAUUUGGCAGCAUUGACUAGCUAGCAAUAGCAUAUUGCAACUACGUGUUAGAUUGUUCUUCUUUAGAGAAAAAAUUGUAAAAAAAAAAAAAAAGAAAAAGCUUUAUUUGAUAAUGAGAAGAGAAAUUAGAAUAAUGAAUGAUAUAUAGUGGUGGCAAAUUGGAAAAAUUAAAAAGUAUAGUAGGGAGACCAAAAAUGGAAAAUGGUAGCUUUAACAUAAAAUUGAAGGGAAAAAAACAUAGAGAGAGUGAUCAAAUUGGGUACCAUUUUCAACUCAUUCAAAACAUCUAUAUUUUUAUAUCCAUAUAUAUAAACUCAGGUGUUAAUUUUUUUGUUAAAACUAUAUGUUCUUUUUUUUUUUUUGAAUCGCUAAUUAACACUCUUGCUUUUUACAUUUUAAAUUUAUUUUUAUGAUUUUUUUCUAUUAAAAAUCAUCAAACAUCUAGUUUAUAAAAAAAAUUUAAAUUUUAAUAUAAAAUAUACUAAAGUCAAAAUUGUUUUAUUCUCCAUGAAAAUCAAAUACGAACAAAUAAUAUAAGAUGGAACUAUAAAAGUGUCUACGAGUGGUUGGUAGAGUUUUUUUAAGUCUGAACCUGAUCUAAUCCGAUUAACUUAUUUAAAUUAUAAAUAUUAUAUUUUAUUAAAAUUUAAUUUUAAAAUAUAUUUAACAAUAUCAAAAUAAUAGUUAAAUAGAUAAGUUAGGGCUCGAGUUUAACUUUUUUGUAAAAAAAAUUAGGCUAGAUAAGUUAGAUUUGAAUCCAAUUCGACUCAUGAACACCUCUAGAUAGUAGUAGUUUUAUUAUAUUCAUUUUCUGAUUUAUAACACUUCUGCGAUUUUAUUCAUAAGUCUAAUUUUGAUAGAUAAAUGUUAUAUUAUACAAUAAGAGGUAAUCUUCUCUCAUUCCAAAAAAAUUAUCUCCCUUUUUAGAAUCCAAACCCGAAACUUAAUAAGUUGAUAUUUGUAAGUUAUAAUUUGGAUGUCCUCUUGUAAAACCAAUUCAUUUACAAAUUACACACUUAAAAUAAAACUAGUAUAAUAUAUAUAAUCAAAUUAAGCAAUUCUUGAGCAAAAGUCACUAUAUUGCAUCCCUCCAAAUUGUUAGAUGGGUAAAAUAAAAUUAAAAAACAAAGAAACCACCAAGCCAAAAUGCACCUUAAAUUUGAAUGGUAACAUGUUCCUUUCAAUUUUCUUUCCAUACAACCACAAGAGAUACGUGCCAAAACUAUUCACAAUACAAUUGUUCAGAGGCGGAGCCUCCUUAUGUGAUGGGGGGGCCAAUUUAAUUUUUUUUUACAUAUCAUAUAAAAUUUUUAACUUUUUUAAUAAAUUUUCUUAAUGGCCCCAAAAUAAUUUUUUAUUUAAUAAUCAAUACAAAUAAAGAAUAACAAAUUAAAUAAUUUCAUAUGCGUGACUCAAUUUUAAUAUAUAUUUUUUUGUUUUUUCUAUCAAUUUAUUUUAUUAUUUAUAUUUAUUUAUUUAUUUAUUUCUAUUCUAUUUACUCAUAUAUUCUAAAUCUCUAUAGAUUUUUUUUUUCAUAAAUUUCUAUAAACCAUCAAUCAUAUUCUUUUUCUUUCUUUUUUUAUUAUGUCAUAUUUAGAUUCCAUCUUAUACUUGUUAUAUUCUUCUUUUUUUGUUAUGUAGAUUUUAUUUUUUAUGAUUUUAAUCUUUAAAAAUAAAUAAAUUAUUAUGUAAUUUUUAAAUAUAAGUUGCAGUGUUGCACUACUGUUUAAAAUUUCAUCAAUAUAUUAUUUUUUUAUUUAAAAUAACCAAUACACUCUAGCAUGUAUGUUGUAAAAUUUAAAUAACAAUGAUAUACAUACAAAUUGGUAGAAUGAAAUAAUUGUAUUUCUUUCAAUACAAUUUUAUUUAUUAUAUAUUCUUAACAGCUCUCAAAAUAUUUUUUUUAUUUAAUAAUUAGUUUUUGUUCCUCAAACUGUUUGAUAAAAUUAGAGUCAUUAUAGCUAGCAUAUUGCUAGUUAAGCCCAGUAAAUAUAUUCUAAACUAAUAUGUUAAGUAUAUCAAAUUUAAAAAAUAUAAAAGUGAGUAUAGUAAUCCAAACCCAUUAAAUUUUAAUAUAAAUCUAAGCUUAUCAUAACAUAUUAUAUCUUAACAGUUCAAUCUAAUGGCUUAUAAUAACAUAUUAUAUCUCAAUAGUUAAACUAUAUAACCUAAUAUGUUAAUCAGUAAUUUAAGAGGUAAAUAGAAAAUAAAAGAAGAGUUAGAAUACACAAGGCAAAGAGACAAUUCAUUGGAAUUUGAAAAAUUAUUUUCUCUUCCACUCUUAUGCGCAAAGAGUGAGAGAGACUCCUUUCAUGCUUCCAUUCAGUUAUAUAUAUAUAUAUAUAUAUGAUAACUCUAUUACAUAGAGUUAUCAUACAGUUUUGCGGAGCAUAAAUUCUACUUUUUCUUUUAGUUUCCUACUUAGUCCUUAGCAUAUUUUCAUGCUUUUUAGUAGAUGUUAACUUUUAGGGUGCUUAGUGUCAUUUAGACCAUUUGAGCUUCAUUUCUUUUUAAAAUCCCUCAAACCAACCUCUCACUAAUGUUAAUUUUUAAUGUUGAAGGAAUCUUGGAGCCGAAAGAGAAGCUAAAGGUGAGGACACAACAACUCUGCACUAGGGAGCUUGACGGAGGAGAUCAUGGAAGUAGAAAGUCAAAAAUUGAAGAUCCAAGAACCACCUGGCAGAGAGUUUCUCGCUGCAGCAAGAACAGGGCAUAAUGGGGCAGAAGGAUUUUCGUUGCAGUGAGAAUCCAAUCUCGCUGCAGCAAAAAUGAAGAACACAACUAAGUCAGCUCUUAGCUCGCUGCAACCAGAAUACGUCAGAAAAGAGGAAUAUUCUGGGCUUGAGAUCCUAGGUCAAGGCUGAAUGAGAGGGGAGUAUAAAAGGGGAAUUUUUGCAUAGAAAACGAGGAGAUUCGGGGGAGACAUUUCGAGCAAGAGGAGGCUAAAGCAAAAAUGGGAAAGAGGAGAAGAUUCGAGGGCUGAAGCUUGUAAAGCUGCAACAGAAAAUCUCUCUCUCUUUCUCUAGAUUUGAAUCUUUCUCUCUCUAUCUCAUUUUGUAAAGCAAUGUUCUUGUUUGCUGUAUUGUGUACUCUUCUUUGUGAAAUGUUGAGCUAAACACAUUCAUCUAGGAUUAUGGUUAACUUUAUUAUUUAGUUUGGAUCUUGUUUGGUUGGUUGCUUAGUCUUAAUGCAAAUCUUGAUGUUUACUCAAGUUGGAAUCUAUUUACCAUUUAAUUGAUUGAUCACCGAUUAAAUGUGGUAAAGUAUUUGGAUGAUACUUGAAAAAGUUAAUCUAAAUUAGACCUAGGCUUGAGUAAAGUGUGUUCAAAACACUUAAAAAUGAAUCUUAGUGCUUUGAUGUGUAGUUAGGGUAGAAAUACAACUAAUCACCACACUUAGUUAAUUUGGAAGUCUUAAACUUAAAGAGUUUAAAUUAUUUGUCUCCUAUAAACAUAUAAGGAUGCAAAUAAAUUAAGCAAGUGUGUAAUACCUCGACGGAGGAUUACACACAACUCAAGAUCCUUGACUAAUAUCAAAAUUUCAUUGAGAUUAAGUAGCUAACCAAGCCCAAUUCCAAAUGAAGUAAUAGAGGACACCAUAAUCCUAGAGUAUUAGACCAUUGAUUCUAUUUCACUUUACCACUUGCAUUACUUAGAGUAGAUUUAGUUAAUUAGAUUACAUUUUUUAUUUAGUCAUAGUUCAAAAAUUUGUUUCUUUGAUAAAAUUAGAUUGUGUUAAUUUUUGUAAUUAGCACAAUUUUUAGAUCAACUCCUUGAGGAUCGACACUUUAACUUAUCACUUUAUUACUUGUUGCGAUCGUGUCCACUUGCAUGUAAUCAUUGCUUGUAUGUUGCAUUUAAUUUGGGCAUAUCACAUUUUGCAUAAGCAAGAUUAAUAUUAUUUUAAGCAAGCAACAAUAUAUAUAUGACACCAUGAUGCUGUCAAUAUGUAUUUUUUUGUAUGUCCAAUAUCUUGUAAAUUUUAUUUAAUUAUUUAGAUGAGUGAUAAUUGAAUUAUAUAUAAAGUUAUAUUUGAUUGUUUAAUGUCUCUUUCUGUUUGAUUUUUUUUUAAAAUGUUCUAACUCCGCCUCUGCAAUUAUUUUACAUUUUUAAAGUGAAACAUUUAUCGAUGAUCAAGUUUCUAAUUGGCUUGGUCUUUCUAUAUACUCCAAAUUAAUUUGUCCACUUUCACCAAAGUUAGGAGGCCGUAAAAUCAUAUCUUUUCUGCACUAUAUGUGUCGAUAUGUAUCUCUUCUUCUCGGGUCAUCGGCUUAUACCGGUACCAAAAUUCCAUUAGCCACUAUGUCGACGCGUUAAGGCCGACAACACGAGCAUGGCUUCCCAUUGCCUGCGAUUUUGCUUGGGGAUCACAAGUCUACGUCUUUCACCCAACGUAUAGUCAAAGUAAAUCCGCCAAUCAUUCCACUCCAAUCCCAUCUCUCACGUCGCCAUGGACUUUGUAUAGUUUGAGAAAAAAUGGUGCUCACCGAAAUCAACUCUCUCCCCAAGUCAAAUAAUUCUUCACAGCCCACUCCCCCUUCUCUCUUCAUGAUUGUAUAUUCUGACAAGUUGAUAAAUUUAUACUACACAAUUUUCUAUCAUUUCAUUUUCUAGGAAAUAUCCUUCAUGUUUUGCUUCAUCAUCCUUUGAAUGUUUCUAUUUUAGCUUAUGCAGAGUUGACUCCUUUUUUUUCUCCUUAUAAAGAAGCUAGCUUUGUUGUAACGAGUUGUGAACUACCUUCUUGUGCUACCUAGUUUUGGGUUGAAAGAAGAGUGGUGAGAAGGUAUGGGAAACCCUGAUGCAGACCAUUCUGCGUACGAGUCUCAACAGAUUCAAACGGAAUACGAGCUACAGCCUCAGGAAUAUGAGCCGAACCAGGAA
rnacentral:lncRNA from 1 species